GGAGUUAGCCGGUGCUUCUUCUGUGAGUGAUGUCCUUCCUGCCGGUUAUUGACCCGCAGGCCUUCUUCCUCACUGAAAGUGCUUUACAACCCGAAGGCCUUCUUCACACACGCGGCAUGGCUGGAUCAGGGUUGCCCCCAUUGUCCAAUAUUCCCCACUGCUGCCUCCCGUAGGAGUCUGGGCCGUGUCUCAGUCCCAGUGUGGCUGAUCAUCCUCUCAGACCAGCUACGGAUCGUCGCCUUGGUGAGCCGUUACCUCACCAACCAGCUAAUCCGACAUAGGCUCAUCCGAUAGCGCGAGGCCCGAAGGUCCCCCGCUUUCCCCCGUAGGGCGUAUGCGGUAUUAGCCUGGGUUUCCCCAGGUUAUCCCCCACUACCGGGCAGAUUCCUAUGCAUUACUCACCCGUCCGCCGCUCGCCACCAGGGAGCAAGCUCCCCGUGCUGCCGCUCGACUUGCAUGUGUUAGGCCUCGCCGCCACGCGUUCAUCUGAGCCAUGAUACAACUACUGA
rnacentral:rRNA from 1 species